GAUGAACGCUGGCGGCGUGCCUAAUACAUGCAAGUCGAGCGAACGGACGAGAAGCUUGCUUCUCUGAUGUUAGCGGCGGACGGGUGAGUAACACGUGGAUAACCUACCUAUAAGACUGGGAUAACUUCGGGAAACCGGAGCUAAUACCGGAUAAUAUUUUGAACCGCAUGGUUCAAAAGUGAAAGACGGUCUUGCUGUCACUUAUAGAUGGAUCCGCGCUGCAUUAGCUAGUUGGUAAGGUAACGGCUUACCAAGGCAACGAUGCAUAGCCGACCUGAGAGGGUGAUCGGCCACACUGGAACUGAGACACGGUCCAGACUCCUACGGGAGGCAGCAGUAGGGAAUCUUCCGCAAUGGGCGAAAGCCUGACGGAGCAACGCCGCGUGAGUGAUGAAGGUCCUCGGAUCGUAAAACUCCGUUAUUAGGGAAGAACAUAUGUGUAAGUAACUGUGCACAUCUUGACGGUACCUAAUCAGAAAGCCACGGCUAACUACGUG
rnacentral:rRNA from 1 species